UACGGGGGGGGGGCAAGCGUUGUUCGGAAUUACUGGGCGUAAAGGGUUUGUAGGUGGCCGGCUAAGUCAGACGUGAAAUCCCUCAGCUUAACUGGGGAACUGCGUCUGAAACUGAUCGGCUCGAGUGCAGGAGAGGAACGCGGAAUUCCAGGUGUAGCGGUGAAAUGCGUAGAUAUCUGGAGGAACACCGGUGGCGAAGGCGGCGUUCUGGACCGGCAUUGACGCUGAGGAGCGAAAGCCAGGGGAGCAAAGC
rnacentral:rRNA from 1 species